UACGUAGGGUGCAAGCGUUGUCCGGAAUUAUUGGGCGUAAAGAGCUCGUAGGCGGUUUGUCGCGUCUGCUGUGAAAACGCGAGGCUCAACCUCGCGCCUGCAGUGGGUACGGGCAGACUAGAGUGCGGUAGGGGAGAUUGGAAUUCCUGGUGUAGCGGUGGAAUGCGCAGAUAUCAGGAAGAACACCCGUGGCGAAGGCGGCUCUCUGGGACGGUACUGACGCUGAGACGCGAAAGCGUGGGGAGCAAACAGG
rnacentral:rRNA from 1 species